rnacentral:rRNA from 1 species
CUCCAAUAGCGUAUAUUAAAGUUGUUGCAGUUAAAAGCUCGUAGUUGAAUUUCGGGAUCAGUAUUGUUGGUCAUGCCUCUGGUAUGUACUGGUCUCACUGAUUCCUCCUUCCUGAUGAACCGGAAUGCCAUUAAUUUGGGGUUUGGGGGAAUUUGGACUGUUACUUUGAAAAAAUUAAAGGGUUUAAAGCGGCCAA